rnacentral:lncRNA from 1 species
CCCCACUGUCUGCUCUCUAAAGCAACCAGUAUUUAUUUGGUUAAAAAGCAGCUAAUUAAUCUGUUUGAUCUUGAUGUGGAAAUGAACCGUAUCGAAUUCCAGGUCAAAUCACUUAUCCUUGUAGAAUGUUUUUUUAACCUUUUGAGGUGUGUUUCAUCAGAUUACGGACUAUCAGAAGUUUACUUGUCCUCAAUAUUCCGGUCUGCAUGGUGACAUGGCUAUUGUUCUAAUAACAGUGCUUUUAAGUAUAAACCUAAUAUUGUCUACAAAAAGAAAAGUCACAUUUAUCAAUGGACUGUGAAAAGUUGUAAGGGGAUUGUGUAACUUAAUUAUACAAGCAGUGUCAUAUAUGAUACUAUUCUUGAAAAAUACCUUGCCAUCUGGUCCCAUUUAUCUGAGAUGAGAUCUGUUGUUAUUUUUCUUUUUCUCUUCUUAAGUUUCGCUAAGCUGCCAGCAAAUAUUAUUUUCCUUAUUUUAAACAUGAAGAAACAAAGGUCCAGAUAGGCCAACUAACUUAUCCAAAGUAGUGGUAGAGCCAGAACAUGAACCCAAGAUGGUACCAAAGCUCCUGGUAUUUUUUUUUUCAAACUUUUAUUUUGAAAUAAUCAUGAAUUUUUAAGGAGUGGCAAAAAAUGUGCAGGGAAGUUCCAUGUAUCUUUCACUUAGUUUUGCCUCAUGGUAACAUCUUGCAUAACUAUAUUUUAAUAUAAAAAUCAGGAAUAGACAUGAGUACAGUCCACGGAACUCAUUCAGAUUUGUAAUAAUCACUACCAUAAUUAAAAUAUGGAGUGGUUCUAGCACCAAAAGGCUCUCUUGUGCUAGCCCAUUAUAGCCACUCCCCUUUCUUCCUGCUAUCCCUAACUCCUAGUAACCACCCAUCUGUUCUCCAUCUCUAAAUUAUUUCAAUAGUGUCAUGUAAAUGAAAUCUCACAGGAUAUAAGUUUUUGAGAUUGGCUGUUUUCUCAGCCUAAUUUCUUUGAGAUCCAUUUGUUUUGUGUAUCAAUAGCUUAUUUCUUAUAUUGCUGAGCAGGAUUUCAUCAUAUACAUGAAUCAGUGUAACCUGUUGAAGGACAUUUGAUAGUUCUGGCUUUGCUUGAACAUGACUUUUAGUUUUUUGGGAUAAAUGCCUUCUGAGGUCUGAAUGUUUGUGUUCCCCCAGAAUGCAUAGGUUAAAACUUAACCUCCAACGUGAUGGUAUUAAGAGGUGGGGCCUUUGGGGGCUGAUUUUAUCAUGAGGACUCAGCCCUUAUUAAUGGGAUUAGUGCCAUGAUUAAAGAGACCAGAGGGACCUUUUUCACUCCUUCUACCCUGUGUGGACACAUGGAGGGGUGCCAUCUAUGAGGAACGGGCUUUCACCAGGCAUUGAAUCUGCUGGUAGGAAAAUCAGGACCCUUUUAUAAAUGGGCUGGCACAUCUGCAGAUUGUCCUGGGUCACUGGGAAGCAGUGUAUGAGGGUUCCCGAUUUCUUCACAUUCUUGUCAACACUUGUU